CUCCGGUGCGCGCACGCCGUGCGUGCCGACCGCUCGGGACCGUGCCGGUGUGGCCCGGAGCCCCGCAGUUUGGCCAGCCAUGUUCCUCUCCGCGGCGCUACGGGCCCGCACAGCGGGCCUCGCCGCCCAGUGGGGAAAACAUAUAAGAAAUCUGCAUAAGACAGCUGUUCAGAAUGGAGCUGGAGGAUCCUUAUUUGUGCACAGAGAUACUCCUGAGAAUAACCCAGAAACUCCAUUUGAUUUCACACCAGAAAACUAUAGAGGAUAUAGAUAUAUAUCUAUAUAUAUAUAUAGGAUAUAGAGGAUAGAGGCCAUUGUGAAAAACUACCCGGAAGGGCAUAAAGCAGCAGCUGUGCUUCCAGUUCUGGAUUUUUAGCCCAGAGACAGAAUGGAUGGCUGCCCAUCUCUCCUAUGAACAAGGUUGCAGAAAUUUUAAAAGUACCUCCAAUGAGAGUGUAUGAAGUAGCAACUUUUUAUACAAUGUAUAAUCGAAAGCCUGUUGGAAAGUAUCACAUUCAAGUCUGCACUACUACGCCUUGCAUGCUCCGAAACUCAGCCAGCAUACUGGAAGCCAUUCAGAAAAAACUUGGAAUAAAGGUUGGAGAGACUACACCUGACAAACUUUUCACUCUUAUAGAAGUGGAAUGUUUAGGGGCCUGUGUAAAUGCACCAGUGGUUCAAAUGAAUGACAACUACUAUGAGGAUCUGACACCUACAGAUAUUGAAGAAAUUAUUGAUGAACUCAAGGCUGGCAAAAUCCCCAAACCUGGGCCAAGGAGUGGACGCUUCUCCUGUGAGCCAGCUGGAGGUCUUACCUCUUUGACUGAACCACCGAAAGGACCUGGGUUUGGUGUGCAAGCAGGUCUUUUAUUUAUAUCCAGCUGUAAAUAUGUCAGUGGAGAAAUAUGAAUCUCCUAUCUACCUAAACUUUUUAUAUUACUUGUUCAUUUCCAUCUGUGUACACCUUGCUUGUAACCUAGCAACUUACAGCUGUUAAGUAUCAUGUCAGAACUUCAGAGCAUCAUUUUCAACAGCCUGUUCACUUAUCAAUAUUAGGGUACUGUGAAAUAAAAAUUCUGUCAAAUUUCAAGUAAAAAA